rnacentral:rRNA from 1 species
AACGAACGCUGGCGGCAGGCCUAACACAUGCAAGUCGAGCGAAGUCUUCGGACUUAGCGGCGGACGGGUGAGUAACGCGUGGGAACGUGCCCUUUGGUUCGGAAUAGCCCCGGGAAACUGGGAGUAAUACCGGAUGAGCUCUACGGAGGAAAGAUUUAUCGCCAAAGGAUCGGCCCGCGUUGGAUUAGGUAGUUGGUGGGGUAAUGGCCUACCAAGCCGACGAUCCAUAGCUGGUUUGAGAGGAUGAUCAGCCACACUGGGACUGAGACACGGCCCAGACUCCUACGGGAGGCAGCAGUGGGGAAUCUUAGACAAUGGGGGAAACCCUGAUCUAGCCAUGCCGCGUGAUCGAUGAAGGCCUUAGGGUUGUAAAGAUCUUUCAGGUGGGAAGAUAAUGACUGUACCACCAGAAGAAGCCCCGGCUAACUCCGUGCUAG